ACAAAUUGGAGGUAAUAGGUAUCCUAAAGUCAGAUCAAAAUCCUAAUUAACACAGCAUAUUUAUGGUUAAGAAUCAAGCAUUCAAGGUUCUAUUGAAUAGCAAGACGCAAGCUUAAUGGGACUCAAAAUUUCGCUGUUAGAGGUGUCUAGAACUCAGGUUUAAGAGAUUUAUUUUAUCUAGUGUUUUCCAUCAGUCUUGAAACUUUUGUUCCUUCAUUCAUACAGGUUCAAAAAGUUGUUUACUGGCUAAUUACACUGGCAGCACCAGGCCAACCACCCUUGAAGAGUUUCAGUCAAAUGGUUUGGGCAAUAUUUGAAAGAGGU
rnacentral:lncRNA from 1 species